rnacentral:lncRNA from 1 species
UUCAGAAAUCAAUUAUUUGGCUAAGAAAAAAACAUUCACUCUUAGGCAGUUUUAUCUUCUUGAAUUCAAAGUAGGAAGAUUAAUUGUUUGAUGUUUUUAAAAAGGAAAAUUUCAAGAACACUUCAAAAAGCUAAUAAAAAUAUAGUACCUACUUAAAAAAUUCAAAGAAAAUUGGAGUACAAAAAGAAAUUUAAUGAUUUAAUAUAAGAAAACAUAUAAUACCUCCACAUUCUUUUAAUAAACAAACAAAACACUUUUGUGCCAACAAUUUAGAUACUUUGGAAAUUGGAUUGAUCCAUACCCCAUCCUUCAUAGCCCAACCUCU